rnacentral:rRNA from 1 species
GUUAUUUGAAGAAAAAAUAAUAUCACCUGCUCAAUGAUAAAUGGCUAUAGUAAUUUAACUGUACAAAGGUAGCAUAAUCAUUUGUUUUUUAAUUAAGGACUAGAAUGAAAGGUAUGACCAGGGGGAUGGUUUUACUUGUUGAAUUUUAAUUAAGACUAAAAAUGUUUUUAUAAAACUCUGGGACGAGAAGACCCUAGAAGCUUAAGGAUUCUUUUGGUUGGGGAGACCAGGGAAUUAUUAACUUUCUUUAAGUUACUCUAGGGAUAACAGCGUAAUUGGGUUAAAGAGUUCUUAUUGAAUGCCUAGUUUGCGACCUCGAUGUUGAAUUAAGAGAUGAAGGAGUCUUAGUCUGUUCGACUAUUGAAGGCUUACA